CUCCAGCUUUGCAGGAUGAUUUUCCUGGCUUUAUUUGACUGAACAAUAUUUCAGAAUCAGAGGUGAUGGCAACACCAAUUUUACCUGAAAAAUAUUAGCAUAAGUAGGAGGAGAGGAAAGACAAAAACUCUCCUUAAUACAGCCUCUGCAGGACCAAAUUGACAGCUCUUUAAAGCAGUCUGACAAAAAGCAGCAUUAAUUAAGUCAUUGCCGGACUGUAAUUGUGUUAAGAAGUAAAAAUCUAAUAUGAGAAAAGAAAGAAUCCUGCAGUUAAAGCACCGAAAUGAAGGAGCUUGGUGAUAAGGCGCUGAUCUUCUCUUACUGAUUAUCCCUCCCCUCCUCCUCCCGAUUGAGCAGAUAAUGAUGAUGGUGCUGAUGAAUGAUGAUCCUUUUUAAAUAGGUUGAAGGCCCUUAGGAGUCUAACUCUGCUGAGGAACGUUUCGUGCGCUACUCCCUCUUCCCUGCUUGGCCCCAACGUUGCCCACCGCAUCCCUGACCGCGUUCCCCAAGGACCGUCAGCUGUGAGAUAGUCCUGCACUGUUACUGCAGCACUGCUCGUCCUUCUGGGGGGAAACUGCUGUGUCCGCUCCAACGAAUGCAUGACAGCACGGUGACGCCCAGCAGAGCUCAAAGCUGCUCUCCUGGAGGUGCUGGAAACUGCAUCAAGCAAGGAUCCUACCGAGGGCAUUCGGUAGUUCGUCACUUCCUGUUGAGGGUGUUAAAAAGAUCCAUGUCCCUUUUGAGAGCUGAGACGGAAUUAACAUUGUAUUUUGCAAGCACAAAUCCCUGUAGCUGUUCAAUUUUAGGAGAAAUUUGGAUAUUUGUGUUUUCCUACAGAAAAGUAACAAAAAUCUAAGUAGUGCAGUUCUUUCUAAUGAAAAUCCCAGCAUAUGUUACAACACUACGUGACCACUUUUCGAGACAAACUGAAAUACUCAUGUUUUUUGAGAUGGGUUAUGUCUGCUGAUUAAGAGGGAUACAACAAGCAUUUGGUAAUGGUAACAUCAACAACUCCACAGUGACUUAUACAGCAAAAGGAGUGGAAGAAGUUUCUGGAAAGUACCGGCUCACAGCUGAGAAGCCUCCUAUGAAGCACCAAAGUCAAACAACGUCAGCAAGAAUCACUGCUGCCCAAUAAGGCACAUUCAUUCUGAAGGCCCCAUGGCACUGAAUACGGUACUGUGCACUGCAGCCAGCACUGCUCGUACUCACCCAGCAUAGCUUGUUUCUGACUCCAGAGCACUAUCAUGAUGCUUCAACAGGUCAAGUUAGACGUGCACAGGAAGUGCCUGAGAAAGGUACUAAAUUCAGUAAUAAUUUGGCUGCAAUUGAGUCUGAAGUGGAGCGAAGCUGUUGGCACCUGAACGACAGAUUGUUUGUCUAGAAAAGUCCAACAUUUUUAAAAGCUGACUCCAACAUCAGACCUGGACUGCUGCAUUACAGCAGCAUGCUCCAUGGAGAUGAGAGAUGCCCUAUUGUUUAGCAACAGCCACCCUUUGCACUCUCACUGCCUCAGUCUGUGCCUGACCAGGCUCCCAAGCACACGAGCUGCUCUUUAGGCACUGAAAGCAGAUACAGCUAUUGUAAGCAGCUGCUGUGUGUAACCCACAAAAUAAUACUUAAAUAUGUAGGACAUCACACUUAGUAAGGAAUUUUCUGCUCUCCAUAAUGGUUCCAAAGAGAUAUCAAUUCUGAAGAU
ensembl:lncRNA